rnacentral:rRNA from 1 species
GCAAGUCGAACGCUUUGUGGUUCAACUGAUUUGAAGAGCUUGCUCAGAUAUGACGAUGGACAUUGCAAAGAGUGGCGAACGGGUGAGUAACACGUGGGAAACCUACCUCUUAGCAGGGGAUAACAUUUGGAAACAGAUGCUAAUACCGUAUAACAAUGACAACCGCAUGGUUGUUAUUUAAAAGAUGGUUCUGCUAUCACUAAGAGAUGGUCCCGCGGUGCAUUAGCUAGUUGGUAAGGUAAUGGCUUACCAAGGCGAUGAUGCAUAGCCGAGUUGAGAGACUGAUCGGCCACAAUGGGACUGAGACACGGCCCAUACUCCUACGGGAGGCAGCAGUAGGGAAUCUUCCACAAUGGGCGAAAGCCUGAUGGAGCAACGCCGCGUGUGUGAUGAAGGGUUUCGGCUCGUAAAACACUGUUGUAAGAGAAGAAUGACAUUGAGAGUAACUGUUCAAUGUGUGACGGUAUCUUACCAGAAAGGAACGGCUAAAUACGUGCCAGCAGCCGCGGUAAUACGUAUGUUCCAAGCGUUAUCCGGAUUUAUUGGGCGUAAAGCGAGCGCAGACGGUUAUUUAAGUCUGAAGUGAAAGCCCUCAGCUCAACUGAGGAAUUGCUUUGGAAACUGGAUGACUUGAGUGCAGUAGAGGAAAGUGGAACUCCAUGUGUAGCGGUGAAAUGCGUAGAUAUAUGGAAGAACACCAGUGGCGAAGGCGGCUUUCUGGACUGUAACUGACGUUGAGGCUCGAAAGUGUGGGUAGCAAACAGGAUUAGAUACCCUGGUAGUCCACACCGUAAACGAUGAGUGCUAGGUGUUUGAGGGUUUCCGCCCUUAAGUGCCGCAGCUAACGCAUUAAGCACUCCGCCUGGGGAGUACGACCGCAAGGUUGAAACUCAAAGGAAUUGACGGGGACCCGCACAAGCGGUGGAGCAUGUGGUUUAAUUCGAAGCAACGCGAAGAACCUUACCAGGUCUUGACAUCCCUUGACAACUCCAGAGAUGGAGUGUUCCCUUCGGGGACAAGGUGACAGGUGGUGCAUGGUUGUCGUCAGCUCGUGUCGUGAGAUGUUGGGUUAAGUCCCGCAACGAGCGCAACCCUUAUUACUAGUUGCCAGCAUUCAGUUGGGCACUCUAGUGAGACUGCCGGUGACAAACCGGAGGAAGGUGGGGAUGACGUCAAAUCAUCAUGCCCCUUAUGACCUGGGCUACACACGUGCUACAAUGGCGUAUACAACGAGUUGCCAACCCGCGAGGGUGAGCUAAUCUCUUAAAGUACGUCUCAGUUCGGAUUGUAGGCUGCAACUCGCCUACAUGAAGUCGGAAUCGCUAGUAAUCGCGGAUCAGCACGCCGCGGUGAAUACGUUCCCGGGUCUUGUACACACCGCCCGUCACACCAUGAGAGUUUGUAACACCCAAAGCCGGUGGGGUAACCUUCGGGAGCCAGCCGUCUAA